UUUUUAGCCCUUGGAUGGAGAGAUGUGAGGUUGAGAUGAUGGUGGUAGGUGGGGGUAGGUGGUGGUAGGUGGAAUAGUGUUUGAUCCAAGGGCUAUUAAAUAUCAAGGAGUAGAUCCAAUGGCUAAAAACCUAAUAGCAUCAUGGAAGUAAUACUUGUAAAAGUAUUAUAGCUCAAUUCUCUCUCUCUCUCUCUCUCUCUCUCUAUAUAUAUAUAUAUAUAUAUAUAAUGGGACUUUCGAAUCGACGAUCGAUCCCAUUAGACUUAAUCUAACGUAUUUGAAGUAUCCAGAAAAUAAUUUUUAUGGAUUUUCAAUAUCAUUUACUUAGCUAUCAAAAGAAUUCAAAA
rnacentral:lncRNA from 1 species